CUUUAUACACAUCUGUUUAUUUGAUACUUUUAACAAAGUCAUGGCAUAUACUAUUAUUAUUAUCAACAUUAUAAGUAUUAUAUAAAGGAACCUAAGACCCAAAGUUCUAAACAGAUCCCCUGUUUAUCUUUUGGCAAAGAAAUAAGAGAGUAACAUUUUUCUUACACUAAAUGACAAGAGUUCCAAGUUUCCUGACCUUUUCUGUAAUGACAAGUAGCUGUCAAUACACGACCACCUAACAGAGAUCUUCAGAAAAGAUAAAGACAUUUCUUGUCUCCUUUCAAGGGAUCCUUCUCCAUAGGUCUUGAAGGUGCCACCUAGAGUGAUGAUCUCUGCAGAUACUUGCCAAAAACAAGGCAUAUCUACUUUAGGAACUCUGAGAUUGAUAUUACUAAUGAAAAUGCAUUUCUGUGCUUGUUUCUUGUUGCAUAAGUCUAAGACUAUUCCAAGUUAUCCACCAAUUUGAUUACCUUGGAGCUGUAAAUUACUACAGCGAAAUCAAUAAAGAAUUUAUUUUCAGCCAUAGGAGUCCAUAAAGGUCUGCAUAUGGAAAAUUCAAGAUAAUUGCAGUGCUUUUAUGGAGCAUUCUGAUUUCUCCUCUCUCCCUUCCUUCUCCCUAAUCUCAUACCUUUGGAACAUGAGCACAGCUACAAAUACCAAGAUGACAGAAGUGAGAGUUCUGUUCCUGUCUCUCUCUCUGGCUGUUUCUGUGUAUUCACAAAUAAACCACCAGACUGUGACUGAGAACUGUCCAGUUGCUCAUUCAUGGAACAGAUCUACUAAGAGAACCUGGAAAAUGCAUGAGAUUUUGGAAGGAAAAUGACAGAAUUAGAAAUAAGAGAGAACUCUAAAGGAUUAUUUUGGGAUUGAAUCUUCUCUUGACUACCUACAACCAGUUGUUGUUUCAAAUUAUUUUAAAAGCUGACCAAAUGACGUGAUAUCUCCAGAAAGGCAUUUAUUAAUUCCACACCGCCCAGUUAUUGUGUCUCACAGAACAGUGUCCAGAGCUGGAAAGAAAAAUGUGGUAAGGGGUCUUCUAGUAUAUCUCAUUUCUUUUCUUUGUUUUUGUUUGUUUGUUUGUUUCAGGGAGAAUAAUCUUUUCAGUACCUCCUAGCUUAUUUUUCUCGAAUCUUUUUGGCCACAACUAGGCUGAUGCCUCCUCUGGACCAACCAGUGGGAAAAGUAUAUGGGGUUUCCUUACUCUCUUAGACCAAUCAUGAGCCAUUCUCUAGAUCUGGGUGUAAUGUCACCUAAACACACCUGGGGAUCUGUUGGCCAGGAAGAAACAGAAGGGUAGUGAAAACAGAGAAGAGAAGUUGAGCAGUCAAGGAACUGUGUCAGCUACAAUUAGCUUUGUAUGUGUUUUGGAGUACACUUUAAUAUGGCCACAUAGAAUUCCAUGCGAAAAGGAAAAGAUAAGGUUGACAGUAAGCAGAAUCUGGAUUGAGGGCGUCCUUGAAUUAGUAUGUUCUUAAUAGGCCAUGAAGAUUUUGUGAAUGGCUUUUAUGUAAUUAAUCUGGCGAACUUUCCUAAGUCUCAUACCUACAACUUGACAAGAAGAGUAACCAAUGUGUGUCUCAAUGUGCCCUGAGAAAACCAAGGUGUUUCCUAUACCAUAUGUUCAGAAGAUACUGUUUACAGCAAUGGAUAGGGAUGGCAAGAAGAGAGUAGCUCUUAUUUAACGGAUGAAUGGAUGGGGGAGGCUAAGUCUAUUAGACACAUUGACUGGAGAGGGGAGGUGUCUGUAGCACUGGAAUGGCAGUGAUUGGUUCCUCUGUAGUUCUUGGCAAUGCGGUACUUUGAAGUUCUGUUUAAUUUCUGCCUAGUUGGGGAAGGAGGAGAUCACCAGGGGAUUGACAGGGGUAAAAGAGCCAGCAGGUGUGGUUGGAGGGAGGCAGGCUUGUCUGCAGCCUAGAAUAUCAGAAGAGCCAGGUUUCUGCAGCACUUUAUGGGGGAAUGGCUGAUAAAAGGUUGUAGUGAGACACAACCUGUGGACAGUACAGAAUAAGCAUAAAACUCUUUAGGAGAAAGGUUGGUGGAUUUAAAAACUAGCCAGGGCUACAAAAACCCUAGUAGAUUUGUAGCCCUAAUUAAGGCAGAACUGGAAUGGAAAGGUUCAAAUGUAUCAGAAAUGGGGGAGGGUAGAGAGGGUCUCAAAAAGUAGAUUAAGGAGGAGACAAUGUUUGCAGCAUGGGAUGGCCAAGGCCCCAGCAUAUUCAGCAUCAUGGAAGGGGAGUCUGUCUCUCUGCAUCAUUAUUAGGGAUGAGACUGGUACUUCUUCAGCAGUGAAUAGAAGAGAAAUUCCUCUCUGAAGCCUUGACUGGGGAGGCAGUCUGUCUCAGGCACUGGAUGGGAGUUUGAUAUGUGUAGCCAUUUUUGGAAUUGCUCAGGCUGUUCAGCACAUGUUAGCCUUGUUUGCUUCACUGUGAGGGGGUGUGUAGUGUCUGGUAUACUUGCAGAAUU